CCUCCUGGCACUUUCCACGUGGGAGAAAUCUCUAUAUCUUUGAUGGUUUUGAGCUCAGAUCUGGGGAGGUAGUUAGUGUGGUGUAUGAAGGCACGGACUCCGUCUGUGAUAAGCACGAAAUUGGUUAUUGCUUCUCAAGCCUCGACUUUUAUACCCAAGCUCUAAAACUUUCCGUGCACCUGCUAGGCAAGUAAACACAUAUUUCAGAUCACUAACCCAGUCACCUUAUUCAGUUCCCACUAAGAUAAGUAUGCGAAGUUGUUUUCUGUUCCAUGUUUAUAUUGGACCAAUUCCUCUUCAUUCCAUCUGUAUCGACGUCUGCGUUCCUGUUUCUGUGUGCUCUGCUCACUGUGUCUUUGGCUGUAUGCAGGCCUCUGCUUGUAGAUCUGCCACAAGUGCAUCUUGGGUGUAGGAGCACUCUCUAGACAUUUGCUCUUUUUGAGCCUAGGUCUCGGUAAACUGAAAAAAGGUGAUUUUGAGGAUGAAGUCGCCAGGAAAGUGUGGACCCCCAAGGUUUGUGGGGCAAUGAAAGCGGUUCGAAGACAGAGUAAGAACAAGCACCAGUUUUCCCUCUUGGGGACUUGGGUGUGGGAGCAAUCUCCGUACAUUUGGGUUUUUUUAGCCCGGCCCUGCAUAUAGUGAAAAAAGGUGGUUUUCACAAUGACCAGUCAUUUAAUCCAGACCACUGAGAGAUAUGCAUUGAAUGUGGCAGCACUUUUUGUUUCCUUUUUUUUAUAUUAUGAUAGGGUCCUUUAAGACCCCUAGAUUUGGAGGUUUGUUAUUUACAACUAUAUAGACAGUGCUUGCUCUGAAGAAUAUCUAAUUUCUAUUUAUUUCUUCCACUUGGGCCGCAUACAUCAUUCCUUCUUUGUUUUCAAAACUCCUGUUUCUGUUUUGUCAUCUUUUGUUCUCUGGUGCAGAUCACAGCUGCUUUAAUUUUUUUUUUCGCUCCUGCCUGCUCUUCAGCUGUAUCAUAUCUUCAUGAAAACUAAUUUAGUUAAUUCUCUAUUUUAAAACUAGGCUGUGGUGCCUGGUCCACAGUUGCUUAGGAACAGCUACCCUCCGCACGCAGAGAUAACUGGCAGGCAGGGAUGCCAGCCUGUGAGUCUGGCCUAGAAAGGUUACUGCCCACUCCCACAUGCACGUUAGAGUCUCUCGGUGGUCUUCAGAGACAUCUGGUGGUCGUUUACUUCCUCCAUGCCUCUUCAUUUUUGUGACCUUCUGGUGAACUGCAGGCCUCUACUCGACUUCUUUAUUCUUGGUGGCGCAUCAAAAGGGUUAGUUUUGACUAGUCUCUGCAUACCUCAGUAAUCCUGGGCCCCUUGUUUUGAGAGAUAAGCUUCUACUACAAGGCUAUAUUGUCCUAAAGCAUUCCGUCUUAAAAAAUAAGAGAUAAGUUCUGACAUUUAGUACUACAACUGUUGCAUCUGCUCUUUGUACAGCCUUAAGGCGCCUAGUCUCCCAAAUUAAGCUCCUACUCUAACUCACAGUUCUAAUAUAUUAAGCCCCUACUUCAAUUAGUUUACAGCUUUAAUAUAUCAAACUCCACUUCAGAUGAAAAUGUUCCUUUACUUGAAGGCCAGGAUAGUAAACACACCUCUCCAGACAGAUUUGUGAAUAAAAUCUCAGUAGUAGUCAAGUUGAGACACCAGUCUUCAUGCCUUCCACAUUACCUCAAACAAAGGAUGAAACUGGAACAAGGCACAGCCAGAAUUUUGUUAAGCCUUAUGGGCUCUUGUAGAUAAAUUUCAGCUGGAGCUGCCUGCAGCAGCCCGCCAAUGUAUGCAGAGAGGAAAAAAACAUUGCUUAAAUCCAGACUUAACCCGACUCAGAAUGAUCAGAACAGAUGUACUGUCUGGCCCUCCCUCUCUUCACUCCUGUCCUGCCUUUGCUGUGAGUCAGAACAGCUAAUCUAGGGGCAAAAUGGAAGUAAUUUCUUCUGUAUGUUGUUUUCCCUUCUCAAACUCAGGCUUAGCAUGUAUUUUUUGAUAUGCAAGAAAUGUGGUUUAUAGGAAAAGAGAAAUAGCAAGUGCAUCUUUCCAUCCUCUGUUCUUCAAAUACAACCUUUCCUAAAUGCCAUAAACUGUCUGUAGCAGCACUAACGAAACUUUGUGCUUCUAACCCUGCCCCAGUUCUGCCUCGUGCCCACGUGGGAAUGAAGGCAUGCCUUGGAACAAAGAAGUCAACGCCUUGUCCACUGGGUAGACAGAAAGGCUUUACAUGUUUAAUUAGAGCAUCUUCAAAGUCAUUGGCCAUUCCUCCGUACCAGUUGCUUUCAACCUUUCCCACACUGUGACUUUAUUUCUGAAGAACCUCUUUCCCAUUGGUACGCAGCUUGUAAUUUUAUGAUUGUUCAGAAAGACAGAAUUCAGCAACUCCGUAUUGAAUAGCCACGGGAUUAUUCAUCUGCUUAAAUUCAAGUCUAACCUGUGUAUUGCCUGAGCAGCCACAGUUUUCAAACGUAAAAACAAAAUGUCCCUGCUCUUGCUAAGGGCAAUGUUGGGUCCCCGAUUGCUGCAACAAAAUAGAACAGCUGAAGGCACUAAAAAGUUGUUGGGGUAAGUUAAAGCCAGUUUCUUUGAAAACGUGACAGAGGUUUUCUAGAGUUUAUAGUCAGUUACAGUCCGUGCCUUCAGGAAAGUACAAAUUGAUUCCAGUUUGGAAUUAAACUUCUCUUAGUAAAAAUCUGUCCAGUCUUAGAAAGUCUUGAGAGACCACACAAAAAACCUAGACAACAAACGAAACUUUCAGAGUGACUUGGACUAUUUGCUCAAUCAUUUCUACUUUUAACUACUAAAGACACACACGCAUUAUUAUCUAUCAAAUAAAAAACAUCUGUGUGAAAAGAAUCAACAGGAUUUUAUAUUAAAGAAAAAAAAAAGGCCUGGUAAAGUAGCAUCCAUUAAAAAAAAUUGUAAAGGCCUGUUGUCCUGGUUUUGGUGAGGAUAGGGUUAAUUCUCCCCAGGCUCCAGCAGGGACACAGACCUUCCAUCGAACUUGAGCCAUGCCCAGCCUGAGCAGCUCAGAGCAGGCUGGGGCAUCUGGGUCUGGUCGGUGAGCAUCUGUUCCGUAACUGUGUUUGU